UUGUCUCUCUCCCUGACAGAACUUUGUUCUAAUGGCGUUGUCUCUCUUAUCUCUUCAACCGCCAUUAUCGUCUUCUUCUUCUUUCCGUUCUCUAAUUCGAAAUCCAAUUUGCCAUUGUCACUCUUCAUCUUCUUCCUCAAGUUCGAUUCCUCAGGUGGUCUUAACCCGAGAACGAGGCAAGAACAAUCAAAUCAUCAAAGCUUUGGAGAAACAUGGGAUCUCAUCUUUAGAGCUUCCUUUGAUUAAACAUGCGUUGGGACCUGAUUUUGAUAGGCUUGCCUCUGUAUUAACUGAUAAGAGCUUUGACUGGAUCAUCAUAACAUCUCCAGAAGCAGGUUCUGUCUUUCUCGAGGCGUGGAAGGCAGCUAGCUCUCCAAAAGUGCAAAUAGGUGUAGUAGGAGCUGGAACAGCCCGGGUAUUUGAAGAAGCAAUGCAAUCGGCACAAGGAUUGCUUCAUGUUGCCUUUACACCAUCAAAAGCAACUGGUAAAGUCUUGGCUUCAGAACUUCCAAAGAAAGUCGGCAAAAGGUCGUCUGUCUUAUACCCGGCUUCUCUAAAAGCAGGCAAUGAUAUUGAGGAAGGGUUGUCCAAACGUGGAUUUGAAGUUGUCAGGCUGAAUACAUACACAACAGUUCCUGUUCAGAAUGUUGAUUACGUGCUCCUGCAACAGGCACUGUCUGCUCCUGUUCUUUCUGUAGCUUCACCUUCUGCAGUUCGGGCCUGGCUGAAUCUGAUUCAAAACGAGGAGCAAUGGAGCAAAUUCGCUGCCUGCAUUGGAGAGACAACUGCAUCAGCUGCAAGACGACUAGGAUUGAAAAACGUAUACUACCCAGAGAAACCAGGACUUGAAGGGUGGGUUGAAAGCAUCAUGGAAGCUCUAGCUGCUCACGAAGAAUUACACAGAUUCAAGUAACUCGAGCAGCAGCAACUGUAGUUGAUAAACCAAGCCCUUUUAGGUAUUUUAGCUAGCUUUUGUAGGACAAACCGACCUAGACCGUCGAACCCUUCCCUGCUCCCUCCAGCAUGACUCUCAAGGAUGCUCGAUGGAUUUUCUCUAUCUGAAAGAACGUUUAAAAAGAGGAAUGUGUUCUUCUUUUCAUAAAAAUAAGAUAUUGUUUCUUGCUCUGAAUUUAGCCUGAAGAGAACAAAACAUGGCAGAGUACCUAGAAAUGUAGAUGCUGCUCAGACAAGGCUGCUUCUGAUAUAAGUCGAACAUAUAUCCCCAAACUUGACCAUUACAAAUACAUUUCAAACAGAAGCAGCCUUGUCUCUGCAAGGAUCAUGUAUCAAACAGCCUCAAGUCUUAUGUAUCUAACUCCUUA